AUUGAACGCUGGCGGCAGGCCUAACACAUGCAAGUCGAACGGUAACAGAAAGCAGCUUGCUGCUUUGCUGACGAGUGGCGGACGGGAGAGUAAUGUCUGUGAAACUGCCUGAUGGAUGGGGUCAACUACUGGAAACGGUAGCCAAAACCGCAUAACGUCGCAAGACCAAAGAGGGGGAGCUUCGGGCCUAUCGCCUGCGGCUGGGCCCAUGUGGGAUUCGCUAGUAGGUGGGGUAAAGGCCUACCCAGGCGACGAACCGUACUUGGUCUGAGAGGAUGAACAGCCACACUGGAACUGAGACACGGUCCAGACUCCUACGGGAGGCAGCAGUGGGGAAUAUUGCACAAUGGGCGAAAGCCUGAUGCAGCCAUGCCGCGUGUGUGAAGAAGGCCUUCGGAUUGUAAAGUACUUUCAGCGGGGAGGAAGGGAGUUAAGUUAAUACCUUGGCUCAUUGACGUUACCCACAGAAGAAGCACCGGCUAACUCCGUG
rnacentral:rRNA from 1 species